rnacentral:rRNA from 1 species
GACGAACGCUGGCGGCGUGCCUAAUACAUGCAAGUAGAACGCUGAAGGAGGAGCUUGCUUCUCUGGAUGAGUUGCGAACGGGUGAGUAACGCGUAGGUAACCUGCCUGGUAGCGGGGGAUAACUAUUGGAAACGAUAGCUAAUACCGCAUAAUAGCAGUUAUUGCAUGAUAACUGUUUGAAAGUUGCAAUUUCACCACUACCAGAUGGACCUGCGUUGUAUUAGCUAGUUGGUGGGGUAACGGCUCACCAAGGCGACGAUACAUAGCCGACCUGAGAGGGUGAUCGGCCACACUGGGACUGAGACACGGCCCAGACUCCUACGGGAGGCAGCAGUAGGGAAUCUUCGGCAAUGGACGGAAGUCUGAACGAGCAACGCCGCGGGAGUGAAGAAGGUUUUCGGAUCGUAAAGCUCUGUUGUAAGAGAAGAAAGAGUGUGAGAGUGGAAAGUUCACACUGUGACGGUAUCUUACCAGAAAGGGACGGCUAACUACGUG